GAAAUUUUUUAUGUAUUCAAAAUUUCAAUCUAUAAAAAAUUUUUUAUUUAUAUAAAAAAAAAAGA
rnacentral:misc_RNA from 1 species